UUCGAACUCACAAAUCACUAGAUCAUGACCUGAGCCAAAGUUGGAGCUCAACCUACUGAGCCACCCAGGUGCCCGCCCCAAGGAUGAACUUUUUUUAAUGGGGAAACUUUUAGGAUCAUUACACAAAUCUUCACAUGUUAGCUGUGGUUGUCUCUGUAGACAAGUACAAAUGUCUCCAGGACUCUUGUCUCAACCAUCACCCUAUCCCACCUUCAUUCAGCCUCAUCCCUCUACGUGCAAAGCACAUUUCAGUGGGGAAAAAGAUGGGCUUGAUCAUCUCCAAAAUCUCUUUAAAUUUUGAGAUUAGGAAUUGCUAUGUCUAGUCACCAAACAUUUUUGGUCACUCAGCCAUCAGUGAACAUAUUUGCCCUCUCUCCAUUCCCAGCGUACUUAUUUAGCUUAACCUAAAAUGCAUGGAGUUAGAAACUAAAAGAACUGUAAUGAAAGUAUCUACGUCAUAGUCUCAUUAUGAAGAUUAAAUGAGUUAAUGUUUGUAAAGCAUAGUGCCUGGUACAUGGUAAGUGCUAUGUAAGUGCUAGAUAAAAAUUAUUGUAUAGGAUGUAUAUGAAUUGCAUAUGUAAUAAUGUAUGUAAUAUAUGGUAUGAAGAUAUACAUCUAUUAUUAUAUACCUAGUAUACCUAUAUUAGGUACAUUAUAAAACAUACACACAAAAAAUCAGAAGUAAUUAUGUAAAACAUUGUUUGUGUUUUCUUUCUGCACUCUGCGUGUUCUGUACCUUCCCUGGGUUGUAGCACAACCCUCUUUGGACCUCACUGAUUUAGAGCUAUACUGACAAAUAUGGUAGCCACUAACCACAUGUAGUUAUUAAAAAUUCAGUUCCUCAGUCACAAUGACCACAUUUCAAGUACUUAAUAGCCACAUGACUACUGGACAGUGCAGAUAUAAAAUAUUUCCAUCGUUGCAGAAUGUACUCUUGGAUAGCACUGAUAAAGCUGAAAGAAACAAGGGACUAAGGCAGUAGGAUCAACUUGUGACUAGGACCUAUAACCAUGGCACCAUGUUCAAAUCCAGUGAUAAGAUCUUUCUCUGAGCCUCACAUCUCCUCUAUAAAAUGGAAAUAAAAAUGGGAACUACCUCAUGGACUGCUGAGCAGAGGAAAUGAGAUAAGGGACAUCACAUCAUAUUGGAAACUAAGGAACUAGUUCCAUGCUCAUCUCUGUUUUUCUAGAAACAUAAGGCUCAACACCCCAUCCUGAAAUAAAUUCCAGCUUCCGCCUUCCUGUGUGAGGAAUCCUGACACACAUUCUACUUUCCCGGAAAUGGAGUGUCAUGUAUAUGUAUAGAAACAUCAAUAUGCACAUCAUGGAUUUGAAAACCAAAAUAAUCCAUGGACAUCUACUUGGUGAUAAGGUUGGGGUGGAAAUAUAAAAUAGAGUAAAUUAGUCCUAUUUAUAAAGCAAUUCAUUAACUUAUAAAAAUAUCUAUUGACUGCUAUGAGUUAGAUAUUGUUCUUAGAGUUGGGGGUAGCAUGGGGUAUGGAGGGAAAUCAGACAAGAACUAUGUUUUUAAGGAGCCUGGAUUCUAGCAAGGGGAGAAAGCACAGAAAAUAAGAUAAUUACAGACAGUGAUAGGUGCAGUAAAGGAAACAGACACGGUAAGUACAAUGACAUCACCCAGGAGUGUUUAGGGUGGGAGGUGUUUUAUCCCCAUAAUAUUCAUCAACCCUACCACCACUAUUACUGGUCUUUGAGAAGACUACUGAUAGUCUCUCAGUCUAAUGUAAAUUGCUAUGUAAAUGAAUCCUCAAGACACGUGUCAUAGCCCUUCCCACCAUCCCACAUUCUCAACCAGAUUAUUUAUUGUCCCUAAACUAUUCUUCAAUAAAAGUUCUGGAGCCAUCACAGAGUACUUAAUGGAAAGUGACUGGCUAUUUUAAAUAGAAUAGUCCAUACAGUUUCUCUAAGAAGACGACAAUCGGACAAGACAAUCGAAUUGAAAGAUGAGAAAGAGGCAACUCCAGGAAGAGGUAGAGAAAAGUGUUCAAGGACAGGAAGGAAUGCAAAGGCCCUGUGGCAGAAAGAGUUUAUAGUGAACUCAGAGUAGAGAGAUCAGUGUGGCAGAGGAGGAGCUGGUGUUAAGAGCUAAGUGAGGUAGGUAGAAGCCAGAAGCGUUCUGGGCUGAACCAGAGGGGCCUGGCUAUAAGCAGGAGAGUGACGCUAUUUGAUUUACAGUUUUAACAGAUUUAACUCAGAAUUGAAAACAAAAAUGGAAACAGGAAGACCUCUCAGCAAAACAUCACAGUAGCUCAGGGGAAGAUGAUGAUAGCAUGGCCUUGUGGGCAGCUUUGGAAGGAGAAAUGGACAAAUGAGGUAUACCUUGGAGAUAAAACAGGAAGCUGCUUUGCUCUUGUGCCUCCAUCAUCUCAACAUCUGGCCAUCAUUAUCAUCCUAAAGGAGAAGGCAGAACUAAAAGUUUACACAGGACCUUUCUCUACCUCAGCCCAGAAGGGACAGAUAUCAUAUAGGCUGCCUACAGCCUAUAGGUCAGCACAAGGGAUGAGCUUACUUUUGCCCAGCAUGCUACCCCAUAUUCCUGGAUCCAGUAAAUGGUCUCAUUCCUGGAAUGAAACCCAGAAGUUUAUUUGAUAAUUGAAGAAAAAGAUGUUCUCUGUCCUUCUGACAUGAACAAGGAAUCAUAUGACCUCAGAACUAUUGACAUUCAUUUUGCAACCAUGAAGGAAGUCUGCCUGGGGGUACAGCUUCCAUAGUAGAAGCCAGAACAGAGAGAGGAAAAGAAAUGAGGCCCUUGACACCAUCAAGACUUAUCUCUAUGGCCUGAAUCAUCUCUGGCCUGAACAACCUCUUGCCUUUUAGGUGAGACAACGAAUUUCUUUUGUUAAAUCAGUGUGAAUUGGAUUUUCUGUUGAUUUCAACAAAAAGACUGAUUGUUAUUAAUUAAUACCAACAAUGAUCCAGCCACCCUGCACUACCUUCGGUUCUCUAGAAUAUGUGUAUUUUCACUUCAAAAUAAGGUGAAACUGAGCCGAAAAUAUAUCGAGAAUAGUUACCACAAAAAGAGUGGUCCGGGCCCCUGUUGUUAUGGUUGCAGAACAAAAUUAUCACCUGCAGCAUCUAUGAAAUAUUUUAAAAAAUCAAGAACAUCUCAUAUUUUCAGCUGUUGAGGAGUGUCAUUCCUUAAGUGUCAUCCCUUAAGUCCACAAGUUGACUUGUGGACAUCAGUAAUUUUAGGGCAUCGGUCUGGACAAAUGACUAUGGGAAGCUCUCUGAGGUCCAAGUUUCUCUCAAAACUAUCUGUUGAGAGGUGCUUGGCUGGCUCAGUUGGUAGAGCAUGUGACUCUUGAUCUCAGGGUCGGGAGUUCAAGCCUCAUGUUGAGUGUAGAGUUUACUUAAAAAACAACAAAUAACAAUAACAACAGCAGCAGCAACAACAAGCUAUCUGUUGAGCAAUUGGGUUUGAUGCCCAUGAGAAUAAACUUUGGCACAGUGUAAAGACCUUCAUCUGAGGCCUGACGGCUUGGAUAUGGAAAGUAUGUGGACAGAAAAAUUCCUGUUGAGUCAAAGUUAUGCUUCUAACUUCCCAGUGUGGUCAUACGAAUGGGGAAGUGUGUGUCCCUUCAAGUAUAUGCAACUCAGCUCCAGCCAGUGUGACUGAGUCAACUCGACAGGGUUUCGAGGUGACAUAAAAGGGGAAAAUGGAAAAACGUUUUUCAAUCAGAGGAGCCAGACCCUCCCUUACCUGCAUAUUACAAUUCUCUCAUCUUUUCACCACAUUUGAACAGCUAGAGAAGCCUCCAAGAAAUGAUGAUAUAACAACACUUAAAAGUUGCCAAGGUGGGGCGCCUUGGUGGCUCAGUUGGUUAAGUGACUGACUCUUGAUUUCGGCUCAGGUCGUGAUCUUGCAGUUGGUGGGAUUGAGUCCCACGUUGGGCUUUGUGCUGACAGU